UGGGACACAGAGGAAGGAUCAUACGGGAUGUGGUGACCAGCAAAGUUACGUGAAUUGAUAUCCUGCAAAAUUAUUGAAGAUAUCAGCACUGGACCCUGAGCAGUGCAUGGCCUGCAAGAUCAUGAGAAGGCUGAAGAACCAGGAGUGACAAGAUACCACUGGAUGGUGGGGCACAUAAUUCCACUCAGGGAGAGGUAAGCAAACAGGCAAGACAUAGAGAGAGAUAGGACCCCAUCCAACCUGACAGAGCGUGUGAGGAUCUGCAGAAAAGAAUGGCAGAACAUCCCCAAAUCCAGGGUAUUGAGUGUAGAUUGAUGAGCUCAAUAAGGAUUGGAACAACAUUGACGGGGGGAAACACCCAAAGUCCAUCACUCAUGCACCGAGGAUCUGGCUGAUUACUGGAAAUUUGGAAGAUUGUUCUUUAUCUGCACUGUCACUUCUGGUAAAUAUUUAUGAAGAAGAAAUAUACUUUAUUAAUCCACAAGGGGAAAUUAGUUCUCUGCAUUUAACCCAUCCUUAGUUAUUAAGGAGCAGUGGGCUGCAGUGAUGCGCCCAGGAAGCAACUGGGGGUUCAGUGCCUUGC